AGCGAACGCUGGCGGCAGGCUUAACACAUGCAAGUCGAGCGGGCACCUACGGAUGUCUGCGGCAGACGGGUGGGUAACACGUGGGAACGUAGCCUUCGGUUCGGAACUACUUUUGGGAACUGGAGCUCAUACCGGAAAUGACCCUAUGGGGGCAGGCUUACUGCCGGAGGAGCGGGGCGAGUUUGAUUCGCUGGUCGGUUGGGUAACGGCCUAUCAAGUCAACGAGCAGUAGCUGGUCUGAGAGAAUGAUCCGACACACUGAGACUGGGACACGGCGCAGACUCCUAGAGGAGGCAGCAGUGGGGAAUAUUGGACAAUGGGCGCAAGCCAGAUCCAGCCAUGCCGCGUGAGUGAUUAAGGCCUUAGAGUUGUAAAGCUCUUUUGUCCGGCGCGAUAAUGACGGUACCGAAAGAAUAAGCCCCGGCUAACUUCGUG
rnacentral:rRNA from 1 species